GAUGAACGCUGGCGGCGUGCCUAACACAUGCAAGUCGAACGGAACUUUUACGGAUUGAGACUUCGGUUGAUUGAGGUUUAAGUUAGUGGCGGACGGGUGAGUAACGCGUGAGUAACCUGCCUUUCACAGGGGGAUAACGUUUGGAAACGAACGCUAAUACCGCAUAACAUAGCGAGACCGCAUGAUCUUGCUAUCAAAGAUUUUAUCGGUGAAAGAUGGACUCGCGUCCGAUUAGGUAGUUGGUGAGGUAAACGGCCCACCAAGCCGACGAUCGGUAGCCGGACUGAGAGGUUGAACGGCCACAUUGGGACUGAGACACGGCCCAGACUCCUACGGGAGGCAGCAGUGGGGAAUAUUGCACAAUGGGCGCAAGCCUGAUGCAGCAACGCCGCGUGAGGGAAGACGGUUUUCGGAUUGUAAACCUCUGUCUUUGGUGACGAAGAAGUGACGGUAGCCAAGGAGGAAGCCACGGCUAACUACGUG
rnacentral:rRNA from 1 species